CAGGCUCGGCGCAGAGCGGGUUAUUUCUAAGAAUAGCAGAGACCCCGGUGUUGCUCACCUAUCCUUUAUUCUGAGUCACGUGAUGAUGCAUGACGAGCGCUGACAGUUAUUCUACAGUUAUAAAUGAAAAUGAUGACAAAUCGAGCGGCUGAUAUCAUCCUGACUAAGGCAGCGUGAUGGAUGAUGUGUGCGGGUUACCGUUCUGGUGAGGAGAUGAACACAUUCGCAGCGACGCAAGUAAAACUGGAGAACUGUGUCCCGGAGAUGAAGAAGUUAAGUACAUUUGGCAGAUGUGUAAUUUCUCUGUGGAGUGCCAUGUACCAAAGAGCCUGUGGGAGAUGUUAGUCAAUGUGGUCCCAUCUCAAAUAAAGUCAUUUUCUUUCCUAGAAAAACGGUUCUCUACCCAAAGGGCAGCUUAGAUUUAGAGACAGCCCUGGCAAAUGCAUUUUUGAGAAAACACUAGAUAAUUCUUAAAAGGGAUUACGGGAUUCUGUUCUCACUGACCCAGAGGGAUUCUGGUACUCCAUUUACUGGCGUCAGCUGGAACUAUUUCUCUUUUUAAUACUGUAUUUUUUUUCCUAAUAGAGUGAAACAAAGCAAAUGUUUAGGAGCGACCCAGUUUUUGUCACAUGAUUUAUGGUGAUAAGAUGAAGAGUACUGGAGGCAUCUUGAUGAAUGCAGGGUCAUGUUAAUUAAAGAAACGUCCAGUCUCCACAGAAAAAUAUAUUCACCUAUGCCACAAUGAGCAAGCACAACCUUGGCGAGCACAACGGCAAGCUGCUGCUGGGAGCCCACACCAGGCCCCUUCUCAGGCCCCCUCCCCUUCUGUCUCCCCCUCUCCAGGCCACUCCCCCUCUUCUGCCCACACCCCCUCUUCUGCCCACACCCCCUCUCCAGCCCACACCCCCUCUCCGGACCACUCCCCCUCUCCAGCCACCUCCACCUCUCCGGCCCACUCCUUCUCUCCAGCCACCUCCCCCUCUCCAGCCACCUCCCCCUCUCCAGCCCAAUUCCACUCUCCCAAUCCCCCUCUCCAGCCCAAUCUUACUCUCUUUCCCAAUCCCCCUCUUCAGCCCAAUCCCACUCUCUCUCCCAAUCCCCCUAUCCAGCCCAAUCCCACUCUCUUUCCCAAUCCCCCUCUCCAGCCCAAUCCCACUCUCCCGACCAAUCACCCUCUCCGGCCCAAUCCCACUCUCUUGCACAAUUCCCCUCUCUGCCCCCCUCCCCCUCUGUGUCCCAAAAAUCCACUCCACCACCCUCACCCUAUCAUUCACAAACCCCCUCUGUUAGGUCCUCCCCCUUCCAUCCUCUAACACAAUUAGACCCUCCUUCCCCCAUCCUGCCUCCUUCCCCCAUCCAGCACCCAUCCCCCAUCCAGCCAACCUCACCCAUCCAGCCACCUUUGCCGCCAACAGAAUGGGCAGCAGAGGCCCCGGAGCCACUUGAGGGAGGUGGGCAAGUGGCAGAGGAGAAUGUUGCAGUUGGAGAUCCCACCACUUUUGCAGGCAUUCUGGCCACCAUGCAGCAAAAUCUUGAAGCCUUGCUGGCUAAUGUGGACCAGCUGCAAACAUUUUUUAAUUUUUAAUGUAAAUAAUUUUAUAUUUUCAGUAAAAAAAAAAAAAUAUGACAAACAAUAAAAACUAUAUAUAUUUCAAGUUAA